UGGGGAAUAUUGGACAAUGGGCGCAAGCCUGAUCCAGCCAUGCCGCGUGAGUGAUGAAGGCCUUAGGGUUGUAAAGCUCUUUUAGCGGGGAAGAUAAUGACGGUACCCGCAGAAAAAGCCCCGGCUAACUUCGUGCCAGCAGCCGCGGUAAUACGAAGGGGGCUAGCGUUGCUCGGAAUUACUGGGCGUAAAGCGCACGUAGGCGGACUCUUAAGUCGGUGGUGAAAUCCUGGAGCUCAACUCCAGAACUGCCUUCGAUACUGGGAGUCUUGAGCUCGGGAGAGGUGAGUGGAACUGCGAGUGUAGAGGUGAAAUUCGUAGAUAUUCGCAAGAACACCAGUGGCGAAGGCGGCUCACUGGCCCGAUACUGACGCUGAGGUGCGAAAGCGUGGGGAGCAAAC
rnacentral:rRNA from 1 species